UACGGGGGGGGGGCGAGCGUUUCAUUCGGAAUUGAUUGGGCGUAAAGGGCGCGUAGGUGGCUUGGUAAGUCAAAGGUGAAAUCCCUCGGCUCAACUGAGGAAUUGCCUUUGAAACUGCCUGGCUUGAGGCCGGGAGGGGGUAGCGGAAUUCCCAGUGGUAGCGGUGAAAAUGCGUAGAUACUGGGAGGAACACCGGUGGCGAAGGCGGCUACCUGGACCGGUUCUGACACUGAGGCGCGGAAAGCGUGGGGAGCAAACAGG
rnacentral:rRNA from 1 species